CAUAACUGUGUGGUCUGGUGAUAGGUCAGUGUCCCAGCCAGCAACAUGGAGUUCCCCAGAGAAAUGAGUCAUUUCCUUCUAUUUGGGCAAGAGGUGUUGACUCUCUUUCCAGAUGCAGAGAAAGCCCGGACCGAAGGAAAGGCGAUGUUUGCCUGGAAGUUACCAGGAGUCACGGCUGGGACGCCAAACACCAGCGUUGGCAGUCACACUCGGGACAGAACAGCUAAAAUUCGCACAUCUGAUUGACCGUCUCCUGUGCUUCAAUCCGUCUUAACUCACGUUUGUCUGUAGAGAUAGAUGCCUAGACUUGCCAGCCUUCCUGGAACUCGCUUGGAGGUCUAAAUAGUCUCAAGCUCACCGAUCAAUAAACAGUAAAUCGACA